rnacentral:rRNA from 1 species
CUUGAGUCUCGACCAGUGUGGCGGAGUAUUGAGAGAAUACUCGUAUACAGUGGCCAUAGAAAGGUAUGCUAACACCAUACCUGAUCUACAUUCGGUUAUCACCGCUACUGUACACCCUUGCGGUGUACAGACUAGUGUUGAGCCGUGUUAGUCAGCUAUGGCCACAUACACACUGGACAAGAAUCUCUGCGUAUGCAGGGUCAACACAAUGCCCGGCAAGGUGCUCACGAUACGCCCGAGUAGUGUAUUCGUCAUUGGAUGCUGUUUUUGUACUCAGUGCAAGAACGAUCCAUGGUUAUGCUACUCUUUGGUGGUGUGUCAGUACAUCUUGUUGGUUAACAUUGGACUGUUGAUAUGAUUCGGAGGCAAGUAGAUCGGUACUCUAUCCGACCCGUCUUGAAACACGGACCAAGGAGUCUAACAUGUAUGCAAGCCGAACAGUCUUGUAUAGGCUUGGUAGGCGAAUUGAAAGAAAUAUAUAUGGGUAUGAUGCGUUCUCUAUCAAUUCAUUGGACUCGAAAGUGUCCCAAUGUUGAUACGCCGCAAUACCGGCCCGUGGAUUAUCCUCUUUACCGAGAUAACCGCGGAGCUCUAGUAUAUAUGUUAGUACCCGAAAGAUGGUGAACUAUGCCCGGGCAAGAUGAAGCCAGAGGAAACUCUGGUGGAGGUCUGUAGCGAUUCUGACGUGCAAAUCGAUCGUCAGAUCCGGGUAUAGGGGCGAAAGACUAAUCGAAC